AGUAGUAUGUUCGUUGUCUCCUUCUUCGUUACAUGUAAUUUUGGUGAUCGAUUUUUGGAUUUCGUAUAUAUUUUACGUGAAUGUAAACGCUAUGCCAAGUAACUAUUUAAUUUAAAGUAUACCUAAACCUGUUUUUAAAGCUAUAAAAUGAUUUCCUCCAGAGGAAAUGGAGAUUAUGGAAACUGAUGCCCUUAUCAAAAGAACAGUUGGUCAUAAUGUCAACAUGCCUAGCACUAGGCAAACAAGUUAUCAGUCAAUGAAUGGACCUGAAGGCUCACUUCAGACUUCAACAAGUGAAAAUAGUACAGAAAUAAUAAAAACUUUUCCUCGUUCACACAGCAGUGAUGAUGAAAUGAUUGACAUAACAGGCACGGGAACUACAACAGAAUCCAAUUUGUCUCGUUCGCAGGGUGAGAGAUUCCUGUUUACUAACCCUCAAUAUUAUCGGCCUUCUGAUGUAUUUACAUAUAUCUCCCCUUCUGACCGUGAAUGCAUUGAGCGAGAUAGGCUUACAGCAGGAUCAGAAAUGGAUGAUCUUUCUCCUGGAAUCGGUCAGUAUGAUGAUUUUCACACUAUUGACUGGCAGCGGGACAUAGCUCGUGACAGAAUGAGACAUCGAUACAUAGUCAAGAAAAGAACAGAAUCAAUAUGUGACUUAAUCAGAGGAACUCAUGAUGCAUGGUCUGGGUGGUUAUGUGUUUUACUUGUUGGUGUAGCAGCAGGUGCAGUUGCUGGUGUUAUUGACAUAGGAACACAAUGGAUGAAAGACCUAAAAGAUGGAGUUUGUCCACAAGCUUUUUGGCUAAAUCGAGAACAAUGUUGUUGGUCUUCUAAUGAUACAUUGUAUGAGGAUUACUACUGUGCUCAGUGGUAUACUUGGCCAGAACUGUUAGGAUAUUUUAGGAAAGAUGCCUGGUCCUUCAUCAUUUCUUAUAUUUUGUAUGUAUUGUGGAGCCUUAUCUUUGCUGGCCUUGCUGUCUUGCUUGUUAGAACAUUUGCUCCAUAUGCUUGUGGUUCAGGUAUUCCUGAGAUAAAAACUAUCCUUAGUGGAUUCAUCAUUCGUGGAUACUUGGGUAAGUGGACAUUGGUCAUCAAGUCUGUUGGAAUGAUUUUGGCUGUAGCCUCAGGACUUAGUCUUGGAAAAGAAGGCCCACUUGUACAUGUGGCAUGCUGUAUAGGAAAUAUUUUUUCCUACCUUUUUCCUAAAUAUGGCAAGAAUGAAGCCAAAAAGAGAGAGAUUCUCUCGGCAGCAUCUGCAGCAGGCGUAUCAGUGGCUUUUGGUGCCCCUAUUGGUGGAGUUCUCUUCAGUCUUGAAGAGGUCAGUUAUUAUUUCCCUCUUAAGACAUUAUGGCGGUCUUUCUUUUGUGCCCUGGUGGCAGCUUUUAUUCUUCGGUCCAUCAACCCAUUUGGUAAUGACCACUUGGUAAUGUUUUAUGUGGAAUAUACCAGGAACUGGCUUUUUGUGGAACUAGUUCCUUUCAUCAUACUAGGUAUUUUAGGGGGUCUUGUAGGAACCAUAUUUAUCAAAGGAAAUAUUCGGUGGUGCAGCUACCGGAAGCAGUCUCAGUUGGGGAAGUAUCCAAUAACAGAGGUACUUGUUAUCGCCUGUAUCACUGCUAUUAUCAGUUUUCCAAACACUUAUACUCGCAUGAACACCAGUGAUCUUAUCAAAUUGUUGUUCAGUCAGUGUGGUGUAGCAGAUGUUUCACUUUUGUGUGAUUACAACAGGAACUUCACAAAUGUUAACAGCAGGAUAGAGAUAGCUGAGGCAGGGCCAGGUGUGCAUAAGUCUUUGGGAUUACUAACCUUAGCCUUAAUCUUCAAACUGUGUAUCACAAUUUUUACAUUUGGAAUCAAGGUACCAACUGGUUUGUUUAUUCCAAGUUUGGUCAUGGGUGCCAUAAUGGGUCGAAUGGUAGGAAUUGGUAUGGAACAACUAGCAUACCAUUACCCUCAUCUAUGGGUAUUUCAAGGAGCAUGCUCCACUGGUGAAAAUUGCUUGUCUCCUGGGCUGUAUGCCAUGGUAGGUGCUGCAGCAUGUCUUGGAGGAGUCACAAGAAUGACAGUAUCAUUAGUGGUGAUCAUGUUUGAGUUGACUGGUAGUGUGAAGUAUAUUGUGCCACUUAUGGCUGCUGUCAUGGCAAGUAAGUGGGUAGGAGAUGCUUUUGGAAGAAGAGGAAUUUAUGAUGCCCAUAUUAACUUGAAUGGUUAUCCAUUUCUUGAUAGUAAAGAGGAAUAUACAUAUACAGCAUUAGCUACAGAUAUAAUGACACCCAGGAGGAAUGAGGGUCCUCUUUGUGUCAUUACACAAGAUAGUAUGACUGUGGAUAGUAUUGAGAACGUUCUAAAGUCUACUGACCACAAUGGUUUUCCUGUGGUUGUCUCCCAAGAAUCUCAGUAUUUGGUGGGUUUUGUACUAAGAAAGGAUCUUACAUUAGCAUUGGGUAAUGCCAAAAAGACACAGGAAGGAGUAGUUGGAGAGUCUUAUGUGUUGUUUACUUCUCACUUACCUCAACCUGUGUCAGGUCCUACUGCUGUGAAACUUCGAAAAAUCUUGGAUAUGGCUCCAAUUACGAUCACAGAUCAGACUCCUGUAGAAACAGUCAUUGACAUGUUUUACGACUACUUGGAAUUAUUACAAAGAAGGAUGUUCUGCGGCACAUCAAACAACUUGGCAAUGAAGAUCCAGAAUCUGUGUUAUUUAACUAAAAUAAGAAAGUUAUAUUUAAAAAAGCUUGUGAAUAAUUACUGUAGAUUCUUAAUGGUUGAUGAUUUGUAUAUGUGGAUUCUGCAACUUUGGUCAUCCACUUUUCUGUAAUGCUUUUAUCAUAUAGUCACUGUAGUGCAGUCAGUAGAAAUCUUGUCAUUUGAUAAAGGGAAAGCUUGUCCGCUGGAUGUGACAUAUGCUGUAGAUUUUCUGAAGUUUUUCACAUACGGGUUUUUAGUUUACUGCUGUAUGUUAUGCUAUAUGUGGAGAGUUUUUACAGCUGGAAACAUGCUCAUUAUGAAGUGCAAAACAACUAAGAAUUAUGUACGAAGAUGUGAAUAAAGCAGAUAGUAUUUACCAUACUUGAGGGGAUGUUGUGAUCUACUUUACUUAAAUGUUAGAAGGGUCAGUGACUGCAGUAUCUUUUGAUGGCCAAGUGGAUGAAUAUCUGAAUGUUACAACUGAUGAAUGCUGUGAGAACGAGUUACAAGAUAUCACUGUUGACUGAACAAAGAAACCAAGUUUACUUGUUAGAUUGAAUCUUUAUUGCAUAAUUCAGUUCUAGCUUGGGAUCAGUGAGUUUAGCUCUGCAUAGAUUUAUCUUGAGAGGGAGAAAGCUUUGGACUUAAUCACAAUCUUUUAGAAUGUGU